rnacentral:sRNA from 1 species
CUCUGUUUAUCCACAGAAUAGGAACAACCUGAUGAGAAAUAGAGAUGAAAGCUUCCCUACACCGCUGUACUAAUGUGCCUCAACUCUGAUGAGGAGGGACUACCUCUGAGGCUCAGAUAG